CACAGCUGUAUAUUUUAUACCACACGUGUAUGGGUAGCGAUUAACAUAACCGAAGUCGAUUAUUUCAUUCAGUUUUGAGUCGUGAUAUGAUAUGACAGAGGACAAGGAGCAGUAUCUACAGGACCCUGCACUGAACAUUGGCACACUGGUUCUGGCCCUGUUGGUUGUUGGGACUCUCUUGUCCGUGAUUUAUGCAAUAAUAUAUCUAAUACAGGUGUAUUGAGAGUCUUCAGGGACGGCUAAUCUGUCCGGCUGCUGUAUCACACGUCUGCUCUGUCACUUAAAAGGUACGAACCAUGCAUCUACACAGUCUCUCGAUCUCUAAAAUAUUUAUCGUUAACUAUAAUAAACCUGUUAUUUCGUUGUAUUAUUUUUAAAAGAAAUUUUGGUCUAUAUUUAUGGAAGAAACAAGUCAUAUUUUGAUUACGAUGCAUGAAUACCAGCAAUAUAAUGUGACUAGCUUGUGUGUAUGGUGGGGGAUAUCAACACAAUGGAAGCACGAUAAUGCAAAUUAACCCGUCCUCUCAUGAUUUUAAUGCCUCCUCAACAGAGGGGCCAUAAAAUGUUUUAGGUUUCGAAGCAGGCACUUCAAUGUUGAUUCAACGAUCGAUGUCGAAUUCGGCUGUUCAUGAAAGUUGAGGCAUCAUUGAAGCUAUUCGUUUUCUGGAAAUUGUGACUUAUUUAUCAAACCUCAAAUGACGGCAAUUAUUGAGUCACGCAGUUAAGAUGCCCGUGUACAAUCCACAACUUGUACAUAUCAGGAAAUCGUGUUAUGAGUACUUGAAAAGUCAAAACAAACCAGUGCUGUUUUACGACAUCUAAUUCAUUUUUAUUUAAAUCCAUCUAAGUAUUUGUACAUCUAACAAUAUUUUGCCAGUAAUAAACCUUUUCUGUGUGAUUUUGUAUUUUAAUUCUCCAUAAAGGUAUUGCCAUGUCAACAAGACAAAAGAAACCGAAAACAAACAAAUAAAAAACCACACACACACACA